GACGAACGCUGGCGGCGUGCUUAACACAUGCAAGUCGAACGGAAAGGCCCUGCUUGCAGGGUACUCGAGUGGCGAACGGGUGAGUAACACGUGGGUGAUCUGCCCUGCACUUCGGGAUAAGCCUGGGAAACUGGGUCUAAUACCGGAUAGGAGCCAUUUUUAGUGUGAUGGUUGGAAAGUUUUUUCGGUGUAGGAUGAGCUCGCGGCCUAUCAGCUUGUUGGUGGGGUAAUGGCCUACCAAGGCGGCGACGGGUAGCCGGCCUGAGAGGGUGGGCGGCCACAUUGGGACUGAGAUACGGCCAAGACUCCUACGGGAGGCAGCAGUGGGGAAUAUUGCACAAUGGGCGCAAGCCUGAUGCAGCGACGCCGCGUGGGGGAUGACGGCCUUCGGGUUGUAAACUCCUUUCGCUAGGGACGAUGCUUUUUGUGACGGUACCUAGAUAAGAAGCACCGGCUAACUACGUGCCAGCCGCCGCCGUAA
rnacentral:rRNA from 1 species